rnacentral:rRNA from 1 species
GCGCACCAGGCGCGAAACCUCCGCAAUACACGAAAGUGUGACGGGGUUACCCAAAGUGUCCAAAUUUGGACUGUGGUAGGUGAGUAAUGUCCCCUACUAGAAAGGAGAGGGCAAGGCUGGUGCCAGCCGCCGCGGUAAAACCAGCUCUUCAAGUGGUCGGGAUAAUUAUUGGGCUUAAAGUGUCCGUAGCCGGUUUAGUAAGUUCCUGGUAAAAUCGGGUAGCUUAACUAUCUGUAUGCUAGGAAUACUGCUAUACUAGAGGGCGGGAGAGGUCUGAGGUACUACAGGGGUAGGGGUGAAAUCCUGUAAUCCUUGUAGGACCACCAGUGGCGAAGGCGUCAGACUGGAACGCGCCUGACGGUGAGGGACGAAAGCCAGGGGAGCGAACCGGAUUAGAUACCCCCGUAGU